ACGAGUUUUGAAAUGGGUUGUUGCUGGCCUUCCGAGGCAUGUGCACGCCCUGCUCAUCCACUCUACACCUGUGCACUUACUGUAGGUUGGCGUGGGUUUCUAGCCUCCGGGCUGGAAGCAUUCUGCCGGCCUAUGUACACUACAAACUCUAAAGUAUCAGAAUGUAAACGCGUCUAACGCAUCUUAAUA
rnacentral:misc_RNA from 1 species